rnacentral:lncRNA from 1 species
CUACAUUCUAUAACGCAUUAUGAAGAUGCACUAGAAUAAAAUCUUUUUAUCUUUGAAUAUCUUUACAGAGGCAAUUAUAGUUGCUAAUAUAGAAUCACAUAAUUAUGAAUGACUAUCAAAAUCUUUCAAAUUGACAUAGUAGGUACUGUAGUAGCUCAAUAUCCUGCAGACAUUUUGUACAGAAGAGAUUUCUGCAGGGAGUAAAGGCAGUAUUGCUAUGUGUAUGCUGUAAAUACCUUAAAAACCACAAUGUACUCAGCUUAUGUAAGGAUCUUUUUAAAUUUCAGGAUUAACUUCCCAUCUGAAACAGAAACAUUUAUCAAACAUGAAAAGAAAUCAAAUAUUUUAAGGUGUUCUUGUCCUUUGACCACAACAUUUCCAAGGGCUUGGAGAGACCAGAAUAUAACUGUUUUUUUAUGCAGAAUGACCCUGUUUUAUUCUAAAAAGACUUGAUAGGUUGAAGAAACAGCAUUGAGCUUGCAUCACAUGUUAUUGGAAACUGAAAACAUUUAAUAAUUUGCAUCUCUAAAAUAGUCAGCAAAACUCUAAAUAAGGUCACCCCAGGUAAAACAUGUCAAAAAAGUGUAUAUAAUUUGCUGAGUAGCAAUACUUUUAGAUAUAUCUAGUAGUCUCUAUCUGACAAUAUGUGCUGCAACAGCUACAGGAUGGAAACUGCUUUUGUAUCCAAUUUAAAAGCAGGAAUGUUCUCCUUUUUACCCUAGAGCUUAAAGGCCAUUUAUAGAAGUAGGCCAAUAUGAAGUAUUGCCACAAUAAACUGUUGUUUUACUUCCUUUUUGUCGCAAAAAUUAGGGAAAAAACUGCAAUGCUGUUGAGUCAUAAAAUAUGUUAGCAAUAAAACAAAUGUAAGUUAUCAAGUUUAUUUAAUUUCUACUGUUACAGUCAUUACUCAGGCAUCUCUUUACAGACUUUCAUAU